rnacentral:tRNA from 1 species
GCCGGAAUGGCGAAAUGGCAGACGCACGGGACUUAAAAUCCCGGGAGGUAACACUCGUGCCGGUUCAAGUCCGGCUUCCGGCACCA